AUCCAUAUAAUUGAUUCAAAGUUUUCAUUUUCAUAUGUAUUCUCACAUAACAGGGCAUGAAUUGGUAUGUUUAAAUUUUAAAAAAAGCACACGUAUGCAUCCGGUUAAUUGUUCCAAUGAUAAAGGGUGAUUGUUCUUGUAGAAAGGUAACGAAUGUCACCUUUUCGUUGAAAAGUGACAUAAUGUCACUUUUUUUAGAAAGGUGACAGUAUGUCACUCUUCAUGAUCAAACAUCUUGCAAGCAUCCAUGUAGUCGAUUCAAAGUUUUCUUUUUCAUAUGUAUUACCAAAAAAUAAGAUAUGAAUUAGUACAUUCAAAUUUUCAAAAAAGCACACAUAUGCAUCCGAUUAAUUACUCCAAUGAUAAAUAGUGACUGUUUUGGAGAAAGGUCACAAAAUGUCACUUUUUCUAAGAAAAGUGACAGAAUUCCACUUUCUCACCUUCUCCUAUGAGCAAACACAUUGCAAGCGUCAAUGCAAUUGGUUCAAAGUUUUCUUUCUCAUGUGUAUUACCAAAAAAUAUGACUUGAAUAUAUACAUUCAAAUUUCCAAAAACUCACACAUGUAUAUCUAGCUAAUUGCUCAAGAGAAUGAUGUGACUUUUUUUGAGAAAAAUGACAGAAUGCCACUUUCUCACCUUUUUCUUUGAGCAAACACAAUGCAAGCAUCAAUGCAAUUGGUUUAAAAUUUUCUUUCUAAUGUGUAUUACUAGAAAAUAGAGCUUGAAUAUGUACGUCCAAAUUUCCAAAAACUCACACAUGCAUACCUAUUUAAUUGCUCAAAAGAAAUGCCUUGACUUUUUUUCAGAAAGGUGACAGAAUUCCACUUUCUCACCUUCUCUUUUGAACAAACACAUUGCAAGCAUCAAUGCUAUUGGUUUAAAGUUUUCUUUCUCAUACGUAUUACCGAUUAAUAAGGCUUGAAUAUGUACGUUCAAAUUUCCAAAAACUCACAUGUGCAUACCUAGCUAAUUGCUUAAAAGAGAUGCUGUGACAUUUUUUGAAAAAAGUGAUAGAAAGCCACUUUUUCACAUUAUCUUUUUGUCAAACACCUUGCAAGCAUCAAUUUAAUUAAUUCAAAACUAAUUUUUCAUAUAUAUUGACACAAUCCACUCAACUUCAACAAUUUUAUUUUCAUACAUGUUUCCAAUCAAAUUAAUAAAAUCGUCAAAAAGAAACUUCAUAAAUGUUAAUUAUACAUUAUGAGAUUUAAACUAAAUCUAAUCAUGAAAUUCAAACAAAAAUGAGAUGGAUAAUGAGCUAUAAUCAUGGAAUCCAAAACAUAGAAAUACCUGUAAUUUUGUUUGUGGCUUUGUGGAAGAUCUCCUCGACUUUUUUUCCAAAUUUUUCAAUGUUUUUGUGGUGUGCCGUGCGAGAUUGUGCGAAUUGCAAAGGAGAAGAAGCCGUGUGCAGUGUGGGCCAAGGUCCUCAGGGUGAGUUCAUUGUUCUUCAUACUUGGAAGUCUUGAAUGGUUGAAUUGUUUUUGUUUUUGUUGAAUUCUUUUGGUUCAAAUCCUUUCAUUAUCUUAUCUAUUUUUGGUGAAUUGCGAUUGCGAAAUGAAAUCAGGAUCUCUUUUCGUUGAAUUGUUGAAACUUGAAUGUUGAAUUAUUGAUUUGUUGCACUUGUUCGUUGAGACUUGAGAGGGUUGUCUUGCCUGCCUAAUGUAUUUUGGAUUUGGUAGGUAUUAGGUAGAAUUUAUUUAUAAUUGAUAAUAUUAUUUAAUCAAAUUUAAAUAAAUGACCGACUGCCAGUCGGACCUGACUAUUACGAUCGUUGAUUAUCGACGGUCAACGAUCAAAGUCAACAUCCGCCCUAGAUGUACAUGCGU
rnacentral:lncRNA from 1 species